CUGGACUUUGGCCAAACCUGGUGAGAAAGAGGUUUAAUCUCAAAAUCAAUCACGCUCUUCCUUUCCCCCCUCCAGCUCCCUUUCCCCACUCCCUGCCUUCUGCUGUGGUUGUUAAGCUGAUAGGACGUAAAGGCCUCCACCUGGAGCCAGCUUGCCUGAAAUAAUGCGGCCAAGAGGAAAUCAGAUCCACGUGGUGAGGCCAGGCUGGGCUGACUGAGUGCUAACAGCAUUGUCUGAACAACGCAGUCUCUCCAUGUUGAACCUGGCCUUCAGCUUUUCAGACACUGCAGUUGACUAGUGGAGGAGAGAACUUGGAUAAUUCAUUCUCCCAUUUGCUUCGUGCCUCACCUGGGUCCUGCCAGUGGCUCUGCACAGCCACAGUUACGGUGGGCAGUGCAUCUUCCCAGGUUUUCAACCUAGAAGCAUCUUUCUCCUGGACCUGGAAGCGAUCCCUUUGAAACACAGUCAUAAAGACAGGGCCUCUGUCUCCUGGGUCCUGUGGGAAGAGUCUUCAGGUGACCUUGGGAGUUCAUGCUUCCUCUCUAAGCCUUCGACCCCAAGCUGAAACAGUGGAGCUGCUGGAGAUGGUACUGGGUGCCCCUGCUAGCUGAGACAUUGCACGACUUUUGGGACACGAGGUUCUGCCACUCUGAUCAGUCGUCAUCACCGUGUGUGCACAAGAGAACCCUGCAGAGCUUGCCGUGGUGCGUCCACGCAGCCGCCUUGUUCCUGGCAGCCCAGAGGCUGCACUGCCCACUCCCAACGCCUCCUCCCGCUUCCUUCACGAGGAGCGCAACGCUCCGGCAAUGCUCGUCCUUGGGCAUUUUAAUUAACUAACCACUCAGCCUUUUAUUUG